GUGCCAGCAGCCGCGGUAAGACGAACCGUCCAAACGUUAUUCGGAAUUACUGGGCUUAAAGGGUGCGUAGGCGGCGCGGAAAGUAGGGUGUGAAAUCCCUCGGCUUAACCGAGGAAUGGCGCUCUAAACUACCGUGCUUGAGGAAGAUAGAGGAGAGCGGAACUUAGGGUGGAGCGGUGAAAUGCGUUGAUAUCGGAAGGAACUCCGGUGGCGAAAGCGACACGCUGGACCCCGCCUGACGCUGAGGCGCGAAAGCCAGGGGAGCGAACGGGAUUAGAUACCCUUGUAGUCC
rnacentral:rRNA from 1 species